GUUUAUUCCCAAUAAUUCCAGAGUCCGCGAUAGAGAGAGGAGAGAAGAGAGAACCUAGCUCGCCCCCUUCUGAAAUCUCCAGUGCAGAGCAGGUAUUGGGAACAAAUUUAGGGGUUUUUUGGACCACCUAUGAUUGACUCUAGAUUCCAGAGAUAGAGAUCGAUAAGCUUCAAUGUUUUGAGGAGAGAAUAUAUUUUGGAAAAAUCAUUCCUGAUAAUUCCAGAGUCCGCGCAUAGAGAGAGGAGAGAAGAGAGAAGAGAGAAGAGGAGCUCGCCCCCUUGUGAAAUCUCCAGUGCAGAGCAGGUAUUGGGACCAAUUUUAGGGUUUUUUUGGACCACCUAUGACUGACUCUAGAUUCCAGAGAUAGAGAUCGAUAAGCUUCAACAUUUUGAGGAAAGAUUUGUUUGUAACCCUCAAAUAUUCCCCUUAAAGGUCUUCAUCAUUGUAUAGCUCAUAGAGAGAGGUAACGUCUUCUUCUUCUCUUCGGAACCUCUUCCCUUUCUUCUUCUUCUCUAAUCGCAGAGCAGUUAAUUCAUCCUUAGUGCCCUGUGAAACCCUAAAAGGAAGAUUCAGAGAGAGAAAGAGAGACUUUUUGGCACACA